AGAGUUUGAUCCUGGCUCAGGACGAACGCUGGCGGCACGCUUAACACAUGCAAGUCGAACGAGAGAAGAGGAGCUUGCUUUUCUGAUCUAGUGGCGGACGGGUGAGUAACACGUGAGCAAUCUGCCUUUCAGAGGGGGAUACCGAUUGGAAACGAUCGUUAAUACCGCAUAACAUAAUUGAACCGCAUGAUUUGAUUAUCAAAGAUUUAUCGCUGAAAGAUGAGCUCGCGUCUGAUUAGCUAGUUGGUAAGGUAACGGCUUACCAAGGCGACGAUCAGUAGCCGGACUGAGAGGUUGAUCGGCCACAUUGGGACUGAGACACGGCCCAGACUCCUACGGGAGGCAGCAGUGGGGAAUAUUGCACAAUGGAGGAAACUCUGAUGCAGCGAUGCCGCGUGAGGGAAGAAGGUUUUAGGAUUGUAAACCUCUGUCUUCAGGGACGAAAAAAGACGGUACCUGAGGAGGAAGCUCCGGCUAACUACGUGCCAGCGGCCGCGGUAAUACGUAGGGAGCGAGCGUUGUCCGGAAUUACUGGGUGUAAAGGGAGCGUAGGCGGGAUCGCAAGUCAGAUGUGAAAACUAUGGGCUUAACCCAUAAACUGCAUUUGAAACUGUGGUUCUUGAGUGAAGUAGAGGUAAGCGGAAUUCCUAGUGUAGCGGUGAAAUGCGUAGAUAUUAGGAGGAACAUCAGUGGCGAAGGCGGCUUACUGGGCUUUAACUGACGCUGAGGCUCGAAAGCGUGGGGAGCAAACAGGAUUAGAUACCCUGGUAGUCCACGCCGUAAACGAUGAUUACUAGGUGUGGGGGGACUGACCCCUUCCGUGCCGCAGCAAACGCAAUAAGUAAUCCACCUGGGGAGUACGACCGCAAGGUUGAAACUCAAAGGAAUUGACGGGGGCCCGCACAAGCAGUGGAGUAUGUGGAUUAAUUCGAAGCAACGCGAAGAACCUUACCAGGUCUUGACAUCGUAUGCAUAGCUCAGAGAUGAGUGAAAUCUCUUCGGAGACAUAUAGACAGGUGGUGCAUGGUUGUCGUCAGCUCGUGUCGUGAGAUGUUGGGUUAAGUCCCGCAACGAGCGCAACCCUUACUGUUAGUUGCUACGCAAGAGCACUCUAGCAGGACUGCCGUUGACAAAACGGAGGAAGGUGGGGAUGACGUCAAAUCAUCAUGCCCCUUAUGACCUGGGCCUCACACGUACUACAAUGGCUGUCAACAGAGGGAAGCAAAGCCGCGAGGUGGAGCGAACCCCUAAAAGCAGUCUUAGUUCGGAUUGUAGGCUGCAACCCGCCUACAUGAAGUCGGAAUUGCUAGUAAUCGCAGAUCAGCAUGCUGCGGUGAAUACGUUCCCGGGCCUUGUACACACCGCCCGUCACGCCAUGGGAGUCGGUAACACCCGAAGCCUGUAGUCUAACCGCAAGGAGGACGCAGUCGAAGGUGGGAUUGAUGACUGGGGUGAAGUCGUAACAAGGUA
rnacentral:rRNA from 1 species